UAAGGAAUAUUGCUCAAUGGGAGAAAUCCUGAAGCAGCAACGCCGCGUGGAGGAUGAAGGGUCUAUGACUUGUAAACUCCUGUAAAGAAGGAAAAAAUUCCCAUUAGAUGGGAGAUGAUGGUACUUCUGGAGUAAGCCCCGGCUAACUACGUGCCAGCAGCCGCGGUAAUACGUAGGGGGCAAGCGUUGUCCGGAUUUACUGGGUGUAAAGGGUGCUCAGGCGGAUUUGUAAGUCAGAGGUGAAAUCUUACAGCUUAACUGUGAAACUGCCUUUGAUACUGCAAGCCUAGAGUAUGGAAGAGAGUGAUGGAAUAUCUGGUGUAGCAGUGAAAUGCGUAGAUAUCAGAUAGAACACCAAUGGCGAAGGCAGUCACUUGGUCCAUUACUGACGCUAAAGCACGAAAGCGUGGGU
rnacentral:rRNA from 1 species